UAGUAGCGGCGAGCGAAGCGGGAAGAGCUCAAAUUUAUAAUCUGGCACCUUCGGUGUCCGAGUUGUAAUCUCUAGAAAUGUUUUCCGCGUUGGACCGCACACAAGUCUGUUGGAAUACAGCGGCAUAGUGGUGAGACCCCCGUAUAUGGUGCGGACGCCCAGCGCUUUGUGAUACAUUUUCGAAGAGUCGAGUUGUUUGGGAAUGCAGCUCAAAUUGGGUGGUAAAUUCCAUCUAAAGCUAAAUAUUGGCGAGAGACCGAUAGCGAACAAGUACCGUGAGGGAAAGAUGAAAAGCACUUUGGAAAGAGAGUUAACAGUACGUGAAAUUGUUGGAAGGGAAACGCUUGAAGUCAGACUUGCUUGCNGAGCAAUCGGUUUGCAGGCCAGCAUCAGUUUUCCGGGAUGGAUAAUGGUAGAGAGAAGGUAGCAGUUUCGGCUGUGUUAUAGCUCUCUGCUGGAUACAUCUUGGGGGACUGAGGAACGCAGUGUGCCUUUGGCGGGGGUUUCGACCUCUUCACACUUAGGAUGCUGGUGGAAUGGCUUUAAACGACCCGUCUUGAAACACGGACCAAGGAGUCUAACAUGCUUGCGAGUAUUUGGGUGUCAAACCCGGAUGCGUAAUGAAAGUGAAUGGAGGUGGGAACCGCAAGGUGCACCAUCGACCGAUCUGGAUUUUUAAUGAUGGAUUUGAGUAAGAGCACGUAUGUUGGGACCCGAAAGAUGGUGAACUAUGCCUGAAUAGGGCGAAGCCAGAGGAAACUCUGGUGGAGGNUCGUAGCGGUUCUGACGUGCAAAUCGAUCGUCAAAUUUGGGUAUAGGGGCGAAAGACUAAUCGAACCAUCUAGUAGCU
rnacentral:rRNA from 1 species